rnacentral:rRNA from 1 species
AUUGAACGCUGGCGGCAGGCCUAACACAUGCAAGUCGAGCGGAGCGGCGGACGGGUGAGUAAGGCCUAGGAAUCUGCCUGGUAGUGGGGGAUAACGUCCGGAAACGGGCGCUAAUACCGCAUCAUAUUAGAUGAGCCGAGGUCGGAUUAGCUAGUUGGUGCGGUAAUGGCCUACCAAGGCGACGAUCCGUAACUGGUCUGAGAGGAUGAUCAGUCACACUGGAACUGAGACCCGGUCCAGACCCCUACGGGAGUCAGCAGUGGGAAAUAUUGGACAAGGGCCGAAGGCCUGAUCCAGCCCUGCCGCGUGUGUGAAGAAGGUCUUCGGAUUGUAAAGCACUUUAAGUUGGGAGGCGUUACCAACCGAAUAAGCACCGGCUAACUCCGUGCCAGCAGCCGCGGUAAUAC